rnacentral:lncRNA from 1 species
CAUCACCCUCCUGCCAGGGGUUGAAGUCAGGAAGUAGUUUAUUUUCGCUGAAACUGAAGGGGGAAGUUAAAGAGAAAAAUAGCUGCAACUUGGUCAAUUCAGGAAAACCAGGUACGAAAAAAGAGGAGCAAGUUAAAGGGAAAGCCAGCUCGGAUUUGCUCACCAGUAAAAGGCAAAAAUCCCAGUGUUAUUCAUCUGCAUUUGGUGUGAAAGACAAAAGCUCAACUGGGAUCUGAGGCUUUCUGUGUCAGAGGGCAAGGAGUCAAUGGGGUUAUGAGGAAGUAAGACCACUUGAGACAUCAAAGAAAAGUAGAUCAAAUCACUAGACUCCUCCAAACAGGAGUGGGUGAAGACAAAAAGUGGAGAGAAUCCAGAGGGAAGAGAGGAGUAGGGAAAAUGGUGGAAAGGGAAGGUUUUUGAGAUGGAAGGCAGAGAAUGGGAACAAAAGAAGAAAAAGCUGUUUGUUUCAAAUCAAUAUUCUCCAAGAGGAUGUCUUGUUUCCCCAGGGAUAUUCUGAGGGACUCACAGGAUCAGAGCUGCGACACUUCUAACAUAUGAAUUCUCUCAAUUCUGAUGCCCUUUGACCUCUGCCACACAAUGCCAAGACAAACCCAGACCCCAGGCCCUGGAAACAGAGGAGGGGCAGGUACACAAAUAUCCAAGAUUGGAAAGAAGAAAGAAAAUGACGACAGAAUUUUGCAGUCUACAAGGCAAACACUGCCAUUCAUGUAGUUAUGGAGUUCCUACUAUGUGCAGACAAUGGGAAACUUUACGAAGGUGAGCAGACAGGGAUCUCACACUCCUACUAUGUGUAGAGCAAUGGGAAAUGUGUGGCAAUAAGGUAAAGGUCUUUUAUUUCAAAAUAUUUUAGCAUAGAAGGAGAAAUGUCUACUUGAACAAUGAACAAAAUACCUUAUCGAAACAAGUCUGUAGAAAUCUGUUUAAUUAGAAAAGCAUAAAAGUUAUUACUCUUAGCUGAGUGGUAACUGAUUUGAUUCAAGUUGUCUAAAAUUUUCAUUGCAG